rnacentral:rRNA from 1 species
CCUACGGGAGGCAGCAGUGAGGAAUAUUGGUCAAUGGUCGGGAGACUGAACCAGCCAAGCCGCGUGAGGGAUGAUGGUACAGAGUAUCGUAAACCUCUUUUGUCAGGGAACAAAGGCGGGGACGUGUCCCCGGAUGAGUGUACCUGAAGAAAAAGCAUCGGCUAACUCCGUGCCAGCAGCCGCGGUAAUACGGAGGAUGCGAGCGUUAUCAGGAUUUAUGGGGGUUAAAGGGUGCGCAGGCGGUCUGUUAAGUCAGCGGUAAAAGCCCGGGUCUCAACCCCGGCCCGCCGUUGAAACUGGCAGUCUCGAGUUGGAGAGAAGUAUGCGGAAUGCGCGGUGUAGCGGUGAAAUGCAUAGAUAUCGCGCAGAACUCCGAUUGUGAAGGCAGCAUGCCGGCUCCACACUGACGCUGAGGCACGAAAGCGUGGGUAUCGAACAGGAUUAGAUACCCGAGUAGUC